rnacentral:tRNA from 1 species
GGUUUGUGGCUCAGUGGUAGAGCACUUCUCUGGCAUGUACGAGGAACUGGGUUCAAUCCUCAGCACCA